AGCGGGUAUAGUUUAGUGGUAAAAGUGUGACCUUCCAAGCUACUGAUGCGGGUUCGAUUCCCGCUACCCGCUA
rnacentral:tRNA from 1 species